AGAAGUGAAACUUCAUGUACAGGGACCAGGAAUAAUGCUCUUAGCACAGGACUGGCUCGUGAGCAGCCUUUGACAGUAUGUGAGCUUCUGCUUCCGUAUGUGCGUCUUUUCAUUCCUCCCAGUGUGGAGAAACAGAAUAUGAGUAGGAGGCAAAGGAGAUGGAAAGUGGGAAGAUUCUGACCCCAACAAAGGCUUUGGAGUGAAGGAUAGUUCUGUAUUUCACAGCAUCCCUGGGCUGGUGUUCUCCAGGACCUGAGAUGAGCCAGACGUAUGAAAAAUGUAUCAUUGGGCUGCUACCAGCUGUAUGCAGAUUCUAGAACCAAAGAGGACAAAUCCUUGCUCAAACUGUAAAGAGGAAAACCAUCUAUCGGGGCCAGCGUUUCACAGAGGAACUAUGCCAUGCAACACAACCUGGGAAACACCACUGAAGCAAGCAGGAUUUCCUCUCCCAUGAGGUCUGGUAUGUAUUCCCUCAAUGUGCUGUAUUUGCAUAAAUCAUAUUAUGUAGGUGGCUGCCUGUUUUGCCCAUGGUCAGGGCCAGCCAUAGAUAGGGUACAACCCUGGAGUGAACAAAACAGGAGUCACUCCUGGGCAGAGAACACAAACUUUGUCAGAAAAUAAAUUACUGGAAACAUUUUUAUUAAAGAAGAGGAGUAGUUUUGAGGGUGUGAUAACUUCCGUUAAAGCUUGCGCAGUUAAUCAUUCCUUGUUUGAGGUUUGGACUUUCUUCCCUUUGAUGUAAUUAGCCAUUAGGCUUUCUGAAGUACAUUUUUCAUGUCAAGGAGACAAUGGUUUCAAAGGAGAGAUAGGGUGGGGCUGAAAGGAAGGCCAAGUUAAUGCAUAGAACAGCAAAAGACACAGGAAAAUAUCAACACUUCUUGCACAAGCCAUUUGCUAGCGGUGCAUGGGAACACGAUGCUAUUUUCACUAUAAAUACAGCAACGUGUUACACUCUGUUUGCUGCACUGUGAGGGUUUUCCGGCACUUUUUUCUGAAUUGUGAGAUGGGGAAGUGUGUGUAUUUGGGAGUGGCAUAGAACCAUUUCCCCUGCUUCAACCAAAGACGCUCUCCUGUUAUGUUUUUGUUUAUGCUUCGAAUUAAGAUGCCAUUUGCAAAAAUAGUAAUUGCUAAAAACUAUUUAUAACCUCUGAAAUAGAUGAAUUACCUGAGUGAGAGAGGAUUGGUUAGUCACCUGUUGCCCCAUUCCUGUCCCAGUUGACUUUGUUAUAGCAGAAAAAAUAUCAGGUCAAGUUAUUGAAAGAAAGAGUAUUUUAUCCAAACUCUUUAUUCAUUCCAUAAGUGUUUAUGGGAAGUACUCUAUAUACAAGAUACAGUUUGGUUUUGUGUAAAUGUGUAAGCAUAUGCACACAUACAGGAAUUAGUAUGUGAUUGUGUGUAUAUGUACAUGUAUAUACACACACGUGUGUAUAUGCGUGUACAUGUGUGCACGCACACAUGCCUGCGUGUGUGUGAUUUAGAGGAACUUCAAAGCUGACACAGAUCUGAAUCCUGGCUUUAAAGAGCUUGGUCUAGUACAAGAAGUAAGGCAUGUGUACAAACAACUAUAACCAAAGCAGAAAGUAGUUUGUGUCAUCUAGUAGGUGAGGACUAGUUCACAUUCAAGUUUAAAUAAAAAUAUCCCUCCCCAAGAGGAUGUCCUCAUCUUUGUUCUUUGUCUUUGAAAAUUAUAUAAAAAAUACAAAUUAGACAGGUUAAUAUUUAAAACAUCAGAUUUCUGCCACUCCAGACUCAUUUUUUAAAAUUAGUUUUUGGUCAUAUUUGUGUGAGCCCUUUUAUGGAAAAACUAAGACAAAGUUAAAGCUUCCUUCGAUCCUCCAGUUCCAUUCACCUGGGUCUGUAUGUGUGGCAAUUACUGGUGAGAAUGUGGGAUGUGCCCUUCCGGCUCUUGG